UGGGGAGUCGCCAAGUGGUAAGGCAGCGGCCUUUGGAGCCGCCAUUCGGAGGUUCGAAUCCUCCCUCCCCAG
rnacentral:tRNA from 1 species